UUAAUUGAAACCAAAGGCAGAGGAGGUAUGUUACUGUUAAUAACAUCAUUGGGAUUUAUUUCUCCAAUUAAA
rnacentral:tRNA from 1 species